AGAAACUUAGGUUAAAUUAAACCAGAGACCUUCAAAGCCUCAAAUAGGGCCCACCAAACCCUAGAUUCUG
rnacentral:tRNA from 1 species